rnacentral:lncRNA from 13 species
ACAGGGCACACAUAGGAGUUUCUUUUUAAUCAUGCCAGGGAAUAACACUCAUUUUAAUGAAGAAUGUGCACUUUAUUUUACCCUAUACUAUGCAUCAAAGAGGAAGCCUCCAUGAGCAUGUCAAGCACAGGAAGUAAUUGGGUUUAGAGCAGUGUGUGCAAAAUGCCUCAGCAAAAUUUUCUUAGUCUUGAUGACUUCUUGCUAUUGCUGCUGUCUCUGGAGAGUAUAUAAUAUUUUUUAUAUUUUUGCAUGCAAAGAUGAGAAAAAGUGAUUGGAGACUUUAAAAGAAGGGACUAACUGCUAAUGCCUGUAUUCAAUGAAUUCUCAGUUAUUCAGAGCUGGGAGGUAGAUCCAAAGCACAAACACUACUUCCUGCAUGGGCCCACUUUUUCCAUAGUACUCUAGGAGAACCAGACCGUAGAUUAAUGGAAAGUUUAAAUUGACUCAUAUUUUUCAACACUGGUCAACUUGACAGAGAUGGCUUGUUUUUGAAAGGAAACUAAUUUCUUCAUCCUUAGCUGAAAAAUUGUUGCAGUGUCUCCUUCUUGUGUCACAUCCAUGUACUCUGGUGGCUCCCCUGGUUACCUGAAAAAUAAUUUGUUACAGAAAAUUGUUCUCUAUGCAGAGAACCAUCAGUUCAAUUUACUUGGUUUUAUUUAGUCUUUGUUUUGAAAAUUCACAGAAGUUACUAAAUUCCCAUAUGGUUCUUUUUCUUUCACUGUCAGUAUGUUGGUGAUCCUGUGUCUUUGUUGGCUGUGCUCAACAGAUGAAGCAGCAGUGUCCAUAUCCAGACAUUCUUUCAGCAGUGAUCCAGAAGUGAGAAAGCUCUGCACAAACCACUAUAUUCUCCUAAAAUCCUUCAUAGGCCAAGUAGAGUUUUUUAAGGAGGAGUUUGAAGAUCAGUAGAGUAACUUUACUGCUGUUUACAGCGAACCUAUCUGCAGCCUGACCUUCCACCUGGUAAAAAACAGAGAGUGAGUAAUAAUACCACAGAUGGAGUGAUUCUCUUGGUAUUUAUGAUUUUUUGGGGUG